AAAGAAGGGCAGGGGAAGGAGGAGUUGGGGUCGAUGGCGGUGGUGGGGCGGCAGGUGCAGGCAACAGUGGUGGUAGCUCGGCCUGUAUUGUUGGUUCCAAAUAAAAUAGCCAAGGUCUCUAAAAAAGUGGAACAACAAGAGAAUUUGAGAGUAAAAGAGGGGGUUUCAGAUGAUUAGGCUCAAUUACAACAGCUGAUGGCUACCGGCGGGGAGUAAGAAGGGAGAGGAAGAGGGAUUUUGGUGGGGGAUCAAUCGGAAGGAGGGUUUAAAUAGAGAAGCGGAAAGGAAAGGAUAAGCUAAGUUUAAGGUGGAUAAGUCUGACUAUUCACCGACGUAACCAAUGUCCUUCGAUCGUCUCUCCCAGGCUUGCGACUUCCAUCCGAUCGUCCAUGCAUCCUUAUCCUAUUCCAAGAGACGGGAUCGAGCAAGGGAUAAGCUUCUUCUGUUCCGAUCGCUUCUCAACACUUUUUUUUUGAAAACUUUUCGGAUCCAAUUAGACCGAUUCUCACAAUAACAAUCUAGCUUCUGAUAUGACUUUAAUCCUUUAAAUUACCUCCAUAUUAGAAGAAAGGUAUUCCUGAUAUCCAAUUAUUUCUAGCAAGCUAGAUUUGCUAGUAGGCUAGCACAAGCAUAUCCCAACCUUUCCUCCACAAUCUUCUUAAUAUUUUUCUACCUCCAUAGUCCUAGAAGAUUCUAGAUAAGUCACUUCAAAUGGUGCUCUUCAAACUAUUAGCCAAAGUCUUAAGUGUUUCCAUAUUCUAGCUCUCUCUGUAGUUUCUAACAGAUGGUUAACAUUUUCUUCCUUUUCUCCAUAGAAUAUAAAUGCUCAAUGUGGGUUACAAUUUAUCUUCUUUACAUUGUUCAGGGUCAGAUGCCUAUUAUUCAGCAAAAGCCACUGUAACACCCUCACCUAUAUUGCACUAUUCCAAAUUGAUGCGAAAAAAAGUCAGAAGAGUCACUCCACUUUGAAAGAAAUUAAUCAUGGAAGGCUUGAGUGGAAAGAUUGUGGUUGGUUCCAUCUCCAUGCAAUUUUUUCAUGCUCUCAUUAAUCAGCGCAUUUUGAAGAUGGUACAUCUAUCCAACCUCGUCUUCUUCCUCCUUGGUUAGAAUAUAUUUGGCAAUAAAUAAUGCUAAUGCUUUAUCAUGCUCAAGUGAAACAUAAUUCCUCAUGGUGCUAUUUUGGUUUAUCGGCAAGCAAAACUAAGGGUGGCAAUUUAUGACCUUACCCAUUAAUCCAACCUGCAACUAACCCGUUUUAAGCAAGUAUGGGUUUGGCACAAAUGGGAUAAGGUCUUAAAUGGCUUAACCCACAUUGAUCCAUUUAUGUGAAUCUUUUAAUAUGCUUGGUUAGUGGAAGCAAUGUUUCACAUCAUCUUUUUAAUAUUUUCAUAUUAAAAUAUUUAUUUACAUUUGUACAUACAUAGUUGUUUGUAAAAAUUGUUUGAAUGAAAGUCUUAAUUAUAAAAAUAUUGCUUAUGUUGUAAUUGAUAUCAUUGAUAUAAUGAAUCAUUUUGAGAUAUAAAGACUCAUCU
rnacentral:lncRNA from 1 species